AUCUGCAGCAACUCUAGAAGUAGGAUUUAGGAUAAUCAUAGUUUCAGUUUGCCAAGUAGGGAGUAUAAUUUAACUGGAAAUCAACCAACUAUUGCUUUGAACUGGAGUAUAAUUACCGAAGCGGGUCGAAGUGGGACGAUGUGGUUCGGUGGUCAACUGCGGCUGCGCAGGAUGCAGUAUGGUAUGGCUUGAGCAUCUCGAGGAGGGGCUCUCUCCGCAAGGCAUCCUCUACGCCACGGCGGAGGUGUUCGAGUAGUCUGUCUCGGGGCUGCACGUGGAGCACGUCGACAUCUCCGUCUUGCCAUUGCUCAGCACCGCCCUGCCGGCUGGGGUUCUUAUUUUCCAUCGAGGCCUUCCGCAACUGGGACCAUGGUGACUGAUAGCUUCCUCUCCGGCUGGAUCGACAGUCUAUCCACCCAAACAAGAGGGUCCUCAUGGAGAGUAUCCACAAGUCCGAGGCUGAGAAGGCAAGAGAGAAGACCCUCUCUGACCAGUUUGAUGCUUCAGUUUGAGGCCAAGCGUGCUAAGAGCAAGGCUAGCUAGCAGGGAGAGGAAUAUUGUGAGGAGGCAGGAGAGAUUGGCUCAGGGAAGAUGACUUUCACUUGAGCCCUGUCUAUUUCCUCACAUAGUUUGAUUUGUCCUGCAUUAUAUUGGUACUGAAAUACAUAAUGCGUGCACAUGUCUUCUGUUGGAUGUUUCAGAGAUGCUUAUGCAGGGUUUCUUUAAUCAUUUUGGUUCAUGGUACCAGCUAAUGAAAUUUACGUGCUCUGAUGAUGAAUUCGUGCCAUGUCGAGUUGGACUGGCGGUGGCGUAUUUUUCCUCUUGUAGUCAAAUUAGUGAGAUGCUCCGUUCUCUUCUUUAUGUGAACGUACAUGUAUGACCAGUGUAAUUAGGUGCAGUAGUUUUGGUCAAUGUCAAAGCAGAAGAGAGCUACAUGUAUGACCAGUAUUGAAUCACGGCGAGAGAGUAAUGUAGCUUCGUCCCUCCCUGAUGCUGCUAAUGCAAGAUGCAUAGGAAUCUUAUUCAAUAUCAAAAAUUGACAUACCGUGCAAUCAUGUCUAAUGUCUUUCAUUAAAUCUCCGCGGAGGUGCCGGCCGGCCGGUACAUAUCCCGAUCUACUUGGAUGUGCAGACCUGGGAGUUGGAACAAUUCACCAAGAGAAGCCAGUUCGUGUAUAACAGAAUGGGUGGAAUUUAUCAUGAGAUCCUACCCAAAUCCGAGUACUUUUCCAAGGCACUGUACACCUUCCAUUUCGCCCAAAACAAUCUCUCUGUGGGCUACUUCACCAAUAAGACUACCAAACAGAUUGAGGCCUAUGACCCCGAUCCGAAGGAGCGGUUCACUGUGGCAAUGCAGAUGCCCCGAGAAGAGGUAGUAGUGGUGGUGCGGGCGCGCCGUGGGCGAGGUGGGCUCCGGGUGUAGCGGCGGGGGCGGCUGCCCCAUCGAUGGCAGCGCGAUGCCCCCCGCCGUCGGGCCCACGCCACCGGACAUUGGCGGUGACCGGAGACUGUCGUGGCGAUUGUUGGUCGGUUGAGGAGCUUGCAACACGAGCUGGUAGCGCCAGCGUUGGCGAGAGAGUGAGGUGUCCCCAGUGCAGUAGGCGGGGGAAAGCUUAAGGCGACCGGUGCCCUCCGGUCCUCAUCGCUGCACGUCGAGGUCAAGUCUGAGGCUGCGAGCUGAUGCAUCCACAAACAUCAUCGUCGACUGCAUCUUCAACCUCCGGACGCCGCUUCCGUACACUGCUUCAUCAACCUCAGCCGUGACCCUUCCUCCCGGUCGCCGUGUUUAAUAUCCUACUCGUCUGCCGCCUAUCUCGAGCACCGCGAGCGAAGGUGGAUGCCCUGACUGCCGAUCACCAAGAAACUCCGCGGAAAGCUGCUGCAGAUAGGUGUUGUGCUGGUAUAUUCUUUCUGUAGCCUUUGUUCAGGUAAAUCAGACCAAGACUCGGAGACUAUAGAUAGCCACUCUUUUUUUACCAACCUUUGUUUUUGUUAAUAAUGAGUUUGACAAUGAAGUGACUACAUCUCCAUCUUUUCACCUUUGUUUC